rnacentral:rRNA from 1 species
AUUCCAGCUCCAAUAGCGUAUAUUUAAGUUGUUGCAGUUAAAAAGCUCGUAGUUGGAUUUUGGGUCGGGGGCACCGGUCCGCCGUUCCGGUGUGCACUGGUGGCCCCUUCCUUUCUGCCGGGGACGUGCGUCGCACUUAAUUGGGUGGCGUUCGGAGUCGGCGUUGUUACUUUGAAAAAAUUAGAGUGUUCAAAGCAAGCCAUCGCUCCGAAUACAUUAGCAUGGAAUAACAUGAUAGGACUCCGGUCUUAUUUUGUUGGUUUCCGAGACUGGAGUAAUGAUUAAGAGGGACAGUCGGGGGCAUCCGUAUUUCAUUGUCAGAGGUGAAAUUCUUGGAUUUAUGAAAGACGAACUUCUGCGAAAGCAUUUGCCAAGGAUGUUUUCAUC